rnacentral:rRNA from 1 species
UACGUAGGGUGCGAGCGUUGUCCGGAAUUAUUGGGCGUAAAGGGCUCGUAGGCGGUCUGUCACGUCGGGAGUGAAAACUCAGGGCUUAACCCUGAGCCUGCUUCCGAUACGGGCAGACUAGAGGUAUGCAGGGGAGAAUGGAAUUCCUGGUGUAGCGGUGAAAUGCGCAGAUAUCAGGAGGAACAUCGGUGGCGAAGGCGGUUCUCUGGGCAUUACCUGACGCUGAGGAGCGAAAGUGUGGGGAGCGAACAGG